rnacentral:misc_RNA from 1 species
GUGAGUCAUCGAAUCUUUGAACGCACAUUGCGCCCGCCAGUAUUCUGGCGGGCAUGCCUGUCCGAGCGUCAUUUCAACCCUCAGAACCCGUUCGCGGGAUCUGGUGUUGGGGAUCGGCCGUCCUAGUGGCGGCCGGCCCUGAAAUGGAGUGGCGGUCACGUCGCGACCUCCUCUGUGUAGUAGUGAUACCUCGCAGCUGGAUAGCGGCGCGGCCACGCCGUAAAACCCCCAAACUUACCAAGGUUGACCUCGGAUCAGGUAGGAAUACCCGCUGAACUUAAGCAUAUCAAUAAGCGGAGG